rnacentral:lncRNA from 1 species
CGCGGCACAAAAUCUUGCGCUCAAUUCCGUCCACCUCUUUUCGUAUUGAUAAAAUUUUCUUCACGUUUUUUCUCACUAAAAAGCCUCUGAAUAUCUUCUGAAUCCUUAAGGCGAAUACGCACUGGUCCGGCUUAGGUUUCUGAGUCUUCAGCAAUGAAACGGACCGCUCAGGAUCCGAACCUCUUUCUGCAGUCCCUAACACCGGAAUCAACUCCACGAACGGAAUCCAAUUUCAAAAGUAGAGACAUCAGCGUCUCAUUCACCCGCAACCUCUCCCUUUCGUCUCUUCGAAUCAACUCCGCCAUUUCGCCGCACAAAAUCUUGCGCUCAAUUUCGUCCACCUCUUUUCGUAUUGAUAUAAUUUUCUUUACGUUUUUUCUCACUAAAAAGCCUCUGAAUACCUUCUGAAUCCUUGAGGCGAAUACGGACUGGUUCGGCUUAGGUUUCUGAGUCUUCACGGAUGAAACGGACCGCUCAGGAUCCGAACCGACGAAGUGAACCGGAAUCUCAACAACCGGCUUAAUACCGAUAGCAUUUUUAUGUAUCGGGCGGACGGGUAUUCCUCUCAUGUUUGAGGAAUA